rnacentral:rRNA from 1 species
AUAACGUGGAGGAAGGUGGGGAUGACGUCAAGUCCUCAUGGCCUUUAUGUCCAGGGCUACACACGUGCUACAAUGGACGGUACAAUCCGCUGCCAACCCGCAAGGGGGAGCCAAUCGGAAAAAGCCGUCCUCAGUUCGGAUUGCAGUCUGCAACU